rnacentral:rRNA from 1 species
AUACGGAAGGUCCGGGCGUUAUCCGGAUUUAUUGGGUUUAAAGGGAGCGCAGGCGGCACUUCAAGCGUGACGUUAAAUUUCGGGGCUCACCCCCGUUAUGCGUCGCGAACUGUUGUGCUUGAGUAGGCGGCAGGGAGGCGGAAUUCGCGGUGUAGCGGUGAAAUGCUUAGAUAUCGCGAGGAACUCCGAUAGCGCAGGCAGCCUCCCGUUGCUUUACUGACGCUCAUGCUCGAAGGUGCGGGUAUCGAACAGGAUUAGAUACCCUGGUAGUCCGUACUGUAAACGAUGGAUGCCCGCUGUUGGGCCUUUUGGGUUCAGUGGCCAAGAGAAAUCGUUAAGCAUCCCACCUGGGGAGUACGCCGGCAACGGUGAAACUCAAAGGAAUUGACGGGG